rnacentral:lncRNA from 1 species
AGGGGACCCUAAAAAUGCCUAACUCAGCAGCACAGCGAAAAUGGAGACCUCAGAGCCAUAAUUGGAAAGAAGCAUAGCUGCUGUGGCCCGGUGAGCUUGUACCCUAACCAGGGCGUCUUUUGAAGAACUGCGCCUGCGUAGUCCUUCUUUCUGCCCGGUCUGUUGAACGAGACUGAGCACGCGCCAGUCCCACGCGCGGGCCGACGUUUUUGUCCCCACGGUCAAAGACAGCCACAUAGGGCCCCAAAAAGACGUCCCCAAGGAUCCAGAGGGGUCCCGCAGGCUUGGGGAUAUCCAAGGCUUGGAAGCCCAACAGGCAGAGGCCAACAUCGCUCUGAAGAAUCUGCAAGAUGACAACACAGGAUACUGUGUAUCACGGGGCUCCGGGUUUGAUUGUCCCAUCUACACCCAGAAGAGGACAAGGAAUAUUUCUAGCUGGUCAGGAUGCCAUCAGCCUGUGAUGCCAGUGCUCCAGAGACAAAGGCAGGAGGGUGGGGAGUUCAAGACCAGCCAAGGCUAUACACGUAAACUCCAUUUAAAAGGAAGGAAGAAAUGAAAUGAAAUGAAAUGAAAUGAAAUGAAAUGAAAUGAAAUGAAAUGAAAUGAAGUGAAGUGAAGUGAAGUGAAGUGAAAGAGAAGUUAUGAAAUGGCUCAGCCGGUAAAGGUGCUUGCUGCUAAGUCUGCCGAUCUGAGUUCAAUCCUCAGAGCUGCUCGUAGUAAGAAAAAAGUUGAUUCCUUUAAUUGUCUUCUGACUUCUAUACACGUGUAUAGAAGGCAGGCUCACACGCAAAAUAAAUUAAAAAAAAUUUUUUUUUGAAAGGAAGAAUAGAAAAGGAAAAACAAGGUCCAGGCUGAGUGCUGGCACACCUUUGAUCCCAGCCCUUGAGAAGCAGAGGCAGGAGGAUCUCUGAGUGUGAGGCCAACCUGGUCUAUAUUAACAAUUCUAGGCCUGCCAGAGCUCCACAGUGAAAGUCUGUCUAAGAGCAGAGUUCCUGCGUUGGAUACCUGGGUCUGGUGCGUCAGAGCCCCAGCUUCACCCUCUCAAGCUCAGUUGUUGUUACUCUGAAGUCACUCUGGCCACCACCUUACCUUGAUGACAUAGUCCUGGCCUGUGAGGUUAAACCAGACUCCACCAAGGUGGAAGGAGACAGGGGGAAGCGUUGGCGUCUUGGAACACUGAAUGAAGUACUGUGGAAGAAGAGGAGCAGUAAAGGGAAACUCACAGCAUGCCAAACUGAAGAAAUGACAUCUCGUGGACGGAACCCACAAGUUGGAAGAACCCGUGUCAAAGACAACGGUGAAAUUCUGAGGAGGCGUUCCCAAACCAAUAGUUCCAAAAUACUGGGUCUGGUGGCACAAGAGAACACAGGGUAAACGAAGAGCCGGUUAUUCUGCCGCAAGGGUGAAAAUGGGGGCACCGAGACUCACGUUCAUGAACUUGGAGAGAGGCACAAAGGAGGGGUUGCCACCAGAGGUGGAGGUCCUAGAAAGCUCUGCCAGCUGUUCCCAUCCAUUCAGUGGGUUUAAGAUUCUGUGUCCAAGGUGGAUUCGUUGAAGAGGGACACUAGAGAGAGAAAGAGACAAUUUGAACAGUGACAAACCAAUGCAUUCGGGAGACCCUCGUGUGACAGAUGCCCUCCGUAGGGCCUGAAGGUAAUGAUCCCCGAGUUCCUGUAGGAGCAGUCAUCCGUAAUGACUGCAGCUCCGUAAUGACCAGGAAGUGCUACUGAGGGCGGCUGCACAGCCCUACAGAAGAAAGGAUCCGUGUAUGGGCUCAAAGACCUGCCAGGAUCCACAUACCUUACGGAGGCAGAGGCCAGAUAUGUCUACAGAGCAAGUUCAAGAACCACUAAGGCUACACAGAGAAAACCUGUCUCAAACAACAAGCAAACAAACAAACCAACCAAAAAAGGUAUGUGUAAAAUAUCAAAAAUAAAUACAUAAAAUAUUUAAAUUAUACAUAUACAUUAUAUAUGUAUUUAUGUACAUAUAUGUUAACAAUUACAUUAAAUAUGUUAACAAUUUUUUUGAGGUUUAAAAAAAUUAUUUUGGGCUGGUGAGAUGGCUCAGUGGGUAAGAGCACCCGACUGCUCUUCCAAAGGUCCUGAGUUCAAAUCCCAGCAACCACAUGGUGGUUCACAACCAUCUGUAACGAGAUCUGACUCUCUCUUCUGGAGUGUCUGAAGACAGCUACAGUGUACUUACAUAUAAAUAAAUAAAUCUUUAAAAAAAAAAGGAAGUUA